rnacentral:lncRNA from 1 species
GUUUGCGCCCGAGGCCAAGGGGUCGGAUGAAUCGUGGCUUGUGCCUGAGGCCAAGGGGUCGGGCGAGCCGUGGCUUGUGCCCGAGGACAAGGGGUCGGGCGAGCCGGCGCUUGUGCCCGAGCCCUGGUAAUCAUGUAUGGUUUGCUUUGUCUUUUGCGAUUUUUAUUGCUCUGAUUUGGGUAUCCCUUUUUAUGGUACCCAA